UGGCAGCUCCCUUUGUGCGGGGAACAAAGCCGGUCCCCGAGCCAACACGAGUCUAGCGCGGGAUCGGCGGCUGUCACAGGGGGAACGUCCUGGAGCGUCCGUCCCUGGCGCCGGGGAGGGAAGAGGUGCCUGUGCCCGCCUGGCUGCACAUGCCUGGGCAAGCCAGGCUGCGGGGACACGGCGUGGGAGCUCUGGUGGGACCAGCCUGAAGCAGCCCCUGGAGGUUUUGAGGCCAUGCCCUGCCCCGGCUCCAGGUAGACACAUUUUACCUCACUCCUGGGUCCCAUAAAGCCCUCCUGAACUCCAAGGAUCAAGCGGGCAAAUCCUUAAGAUGAGGAUGGGAAACAAAUGACGAGGGGAGAAGAUGUUUCAAGCCAAUCCCUUCUGGAGGUGGCAUUUAAGCAGAUGGAGGAGUGGAGCCGGUGCUGUCUGAGGAGGAUGUGAUGGAAAUGUGAAUAUGGAGAGGAUGCUCCGGCUGCCUCGUGGGAACCGGUGCCCUCAGAGAUCAUAAUAAAACAACAGCCUGUGGCCACUGA